GAUGAACGCUGGCGGCGUGCCUAAUACAUGCAAGUCGAGCGAACAGACGAGGAGCUUGCUCCUCUGACGUUAGCGGCGGACGGGUGUGUAACACGUGGAUAACCUACCUAUAAGACUGGGAUAACUUCGGGAAACCGGCUCUAAUACCGUAUAAUAUAUUGAACCGCAUGGUUCAAUAGUGAAAGACGGUUUUGCUGUCUCUUAUAGAUGGAUCCGCGCCGCAUUAGCUAGUUGGUAAGGUAACGGCUUACCAAGGCAACGAUGCGUAGCCGACCUGAGAGGGUGAUCGGCCACACUGGAACUGAGACACGGUCCAGACUCCUACGGGAGGCAGCAGUAGGGAAUCUUCCGCAAUGGGCGAGAGCCUGACGGAGCAACGCCGCGUGAGUGAUGAAGGUGUUCGGAUCGUAAAACUCUGUUAUUAGGGAAGAACAAAUGUGUAAGUAACUAUGCACGUCUUGACGGUACCUAAUCAGAAAGCCACGGCUAACUACGUG
rnacentral:rRNA from 1 species